GUGGCCUACGGGGCGCAGCAGUGGGGAAUAUUGGACAAUGGGGGGAACCCUGAUCCAGCGACGCCGCGUGAGUGAAGAAGUAUUUCGGUAUGUAAAGCUCUAUCAGCAGGGAAGAAAGAAAUGACGGUACCUGACUAAGAAGCCCCGGCUAACUACGCGCCAGCAGCCGCGGUAAUACGUAGGGGGCAAGCGUUAUCCGGAUUUACUGGGUGUAAAGGGAGCGUAGACGGUUACGCAAGUCUGGAGUGAAAGGCGGGGGCCCAACCCCCGGAAUGCUUUGGAAACUGUAUAAAUGGAGGGUAGGG
rnacentral:rRNA from 1 species